GAGGCUGAGAAGGGAUUACAUCUGAUAAGGACAGAAGCUGUUGGAAUAAGACUCCUCCAUUGUUACAUGGGUUAAUACAAGGAUGAAGGUACCAAAGAAGCCGCCAAUGUGGCUGCAAUGGGAGAAUGGGGCCAGCCAAGAUUUAGUAAGUGCCUGUGCAGAGACCCCGUAUCCACAGGUCAUACAGUGUUAGCUGCCAAGAAUUUAAGGACCAUGGAAAGAUGAUGAUGCAGAAAAGUAUCAAGUUCUACUGUUCUGGACAACAACAGUUGCAAGAAAUAAGAAGUACAGAUGUAGUCACCAUUACAGUCAUACCUGGCAUGUUAUCAUACUAGCUUAUCGUCUAGGACUUAGUUUAACUAUGUGCAAAGCUUCUAAAGAUUAAAGUGUAACUGUCA